AACGAACGCUGGCGGCAUGCCUAACACAUGCAAGUCGAACGAGACCUUCGGGUCUAGUGGCGCACGGGUGCGUAACGCGUGGGAACCUGCCCUUAGGUUCGGAAUAACUCCCCGAAAGGGGUGCUAAUACCGGAUAAUGUCUUCGGACCAAAGAUUUAUCGCCUUUGGAUGGGCCCGCGUUGGAUUAGCUAGUUGGUAUGGUAAAAGCCUACCAAGGCGACGAUCCAUAGCUGGGCUGAGAGGAUGAUCAGCCACACUGGGACUGAGACACGGCCCAGACUCCUACGGGAGGCAGCAGUGGGGGAUAUUGGAAAAUGGGCGAAAGCCUGAUCCAGCAAUGCCGCGUGAGUGAUGAAGGACUUAGGGUUGUAAAGCUCUUUUACCCGGGAUGAUAAUGACAGUACCGGGAGAAUAAGCACCGGCUAACUCCGUG
rnacentral:rRNA from 1 species